UUUCCAUGUGAUCGCUGCACCCUCCCCUCACUUUCCCUGCAAUUACUUCCUCUUGCUGUUACCUAGCAGAGCUUUUUCAGCUCCUCAGAGGAUCUCAUCUAUAGAUCAAAAUCAGCAGUUUCUCUGGUGACCAAACAGAAUGUUGUAUCAUUAACACCUGCACAGAACUCAGAACACUGGAUUUAUAUAAUCUAUC
rnacentral:lncRNA from 11 species